rnacentral:rRNA from 1 species
AGUCGAGGGGUAACAGGGAGAAGCUUGCUUUUCUGCUGACGACCGGCGCACGGGUGCGUAACGCGUAUAGAAUCUACCUUGUACAGAGGGAUAGCCCAGAGAAAUUUGGAUUAAUACCUCAUAGUGUUUUUGAAUGGCAUCAUUUAAGAACUAAACAUUUAUGGGUACAAGAUGACUAUGCGUCCUAUUAGUUAGUUGGUAAGGUAACGGCUUACCAAGACAUCGAUAGGUAGGGGUCCUGAGAGGGAGAUCCCCCACACUGGUACUGAGACACGGACCAGACUCCUACGGGAGGCAGCAGUGAGGAAUAUUGGACAAUGGAGGCAACUCUGAUCCAGCCAUGCCGCGUGAAGGAAGACUGCCCUAUGGGUUGUAAACUUCUUUUAUAUAGGAAGAAACACUCUUACGUGUAAGAGCUUGACGGUACUAUAUGAAUAAGGACCGGCUAACUCCGUGCCAGCAGCCGCGGUAACACGGAGGGUCCGAGCGUUAUCCGGAAUCAUUGGGUCUAAAGGGUCCGUAGGUGGACUAAUAAGUCAGAGGUGAAAUCCCAUAGCUCAACUAUGGAACUGCCUUUGAUACUGUUAGUCUUGAGUCAUUUGGAAGUAGAUAGAAUGUGUAGUGUAGCGGUGAAAUGCAUAGAUGUUACACAGAAUACCGAUUGCGAAGGCAGUCUACUACGAAUGUACUGACACUGAUGGACGAAAGCGUGGGGAGCGAACGGGAUUAGAUACCCCGGUAGUCCACGCCGUAAACGAUGGACACUAGUUGUUGGGAUUUAUCUCAGUGACUAAGCGAAAGUGAUAAGUGU